CGUUCUCCUUUUCCACACCAGGAUCUGACACACAGUCCACCAUGUGUCAGAACUACGUUUCUGCUCUGCCCUCUGAGGCAAAAUCUGGAUAAAAGCCAUGAGAACGAAUUCCUCUCUUCUAAAAUAAGAAGCAACUAAAGUCGUUAAUCACUCUGCACCAAAAGUCUGGAGAAAUCACACAACUUCGAGACAAGCAAAUGACUGAGGACAAAUAUGUAAAGCAGACCACAUCUGGCGAAGCCUGGAGUGGACUGCUUUAGGAGAGCCCCCAUGUCUGAAAAGUUCAAGAGCAACCUGAGGCCAAAGAAAAGAUGAUGCUCUUGUUCAGCGAUUGCUGUGGAUGUAAGGGACUGAAUUCCGAUGUGUCACUAUUUCCAAAUUAUUAUCAGUAUACGACAAUGGCUAUGUGAUGAAAAGGCUGCUGGUGAAAGAGCCAAGGACAAAGAUCCAAGUAAUCUAAUUUGGUAAACAUGUGUCACAAAUUAAAGCACAAAUUCAGGAUAAUUCCAGUCAUGGCUGACGAGUUCAAAGAGUUUCCAAAGGGACUUUUAUGAAAUGCAUUUUGUUUUUUUGUUUUACCAUUACAUUUAUAAUAGUCUAGAAAUGAUUGAUUUGGCCUUCACUUCUGACUGGAAAGAAUAAAUCUUCCUUCUACUUUGUUUCAUUUUAGGCAAAAACAUCUCUUCCUUUGCUCAGAUGAUUGAAAUUGAGUUGAUUAGAGGAAGAAGGAUGUGUUGGGUCUAUAAAAGUGCAGCUGUUCUUAAAGUGGAGAAGUGAAUUAGGGGGAAAUGAUCUGGUGUUGCACUUGAUCAUUUUGAUUUACAGCUGGUAAAUUUGAGAUGCUCAGCUUGUUGCUGAGAACUAACAAGACCUGAGGUAGUUAAAAGAUAUUACUACAGUACAUCACAAAACCAUUAUUCUCUGAGAUCACAGUGUGGGGAACAGAUGAUAUUCUUACGGACAGGAACAUAUUGGUGUUGAUGCAGCAGGCGGAACACUUCAAGCACCAUACCAGUUGUUUUGUGUGUUUUAGCCCAUUAACUGCAAAUUAUAAAUUGUUUACAUAAGUAUACCAUAAGACUUCUUUAUUUCCAACCAAUGCAGCCCCUGCCAGCAUUUAAUUUCAGUAUAAUAUAAAAAUCAAUGUACAGAGACUUAAGAUUUGAUUUUGAUAGAGUGAACAACUUAUUUUGUUUGACAACGUUACAUAAUUGUCACACAGUGAUGUCCUGUAGCAGUGACUGGAAAAAUGUAUCCAACCUGAGAAUAACCUUCUUAAUGCAAGACAACCAUAUUUGCAUUGUCCAUGAUGUUCUUCUCUUAUUGUCUCCUCUGGCUUUACUUUUCCAACAAUCCAAAAACAUGGAAACCCUAUAAAUGCAAUGCUUUCUGAAGAUGACUCUCUAAUCAUCAGAUGUCUGAGCUUCCUUGAAUGCACCAACGAAGACUACUUUUCAAAACUCCCUCUCUGUGUGAAACUGUGUUAUCACACAAACACUUUAUCGAUUGUAAGAAAAAAAGGCACCCAAAUGUCUGCUAUGAUAGAUUACCUAUCUCAGGAAAGUCUGAAAGGAAGUUCACUGCUAUAACAAAAUGGUACACUCCAAUGAACUGUAUAUGUAUAUAAAUUGCAAAUAUCCCUGAAACUAAACCAUGAACACUGAUGAAACAGUAAAUAUGGGAUAUUUACGUCAUAAGUCACUAUUUUUUGUCUAGUGCUACUAUUGGACACCAUUUCAAACUACUAAAUGGUUUAUAAUUUCCACCAAGACUGCCAGUAACGUGUGGGUAGAUUUUUACAGUUUUUUCCCCCGUACUCCUCGAUGGAAUCCAAAACAUAUCUGGUUUGAUCUAAACUAAACAGAGCUUAAGGAGUAAUACUCUCUAAACAGCAUUUCCACCUGGUCUCUGCUGCUUGCAUUUGCACUUUGUCCAAGAUCACUCACUGUGUGUAAUCGGGCCAGAUGCAGAUAAAACUGCUGACUGAGAUAGUUGGUCAUUCCAAGGGAGAGGAAAAAAUAAACAAUGAUGAGAGACAGAGUCGAACCUCAGUAGAAGAGUGUGUGUGUAUGUGUAUGUGUAUGUGUGUGUGUAUGUGUGUGUGCGUGUGUGUGUGUGUGUCAAAGGAGCAGUGACCCACAGUGUGAAGACGCUCU